rnacentral:rRNA from 1 species
AGACGGAGGGGGCUAGCGUUGUUCGGAAUGACUGGGCGUAAAGGGCGCGUAGGCGGCUUAUCAAGUCAGGUGUGAAAGCCUUGGGCUUAACCCAAGAAUUGCGCUUGAUACUGAUAAGCUAGAGGAUGAUAGAGGAAAGCGGAAUUCCUAGUGUAGAGGUGAAAUUCGUAGAUAUUAGGAAGAACACCAGAGGCGAAGGCGGCUUUCUGGAUCAUAUCUGACGCUGAGGCGCGAAAGCGUGGGGAGCAAACAGGAUUAGAUACCCUAGUAGUCC